rnacentral:rRNA from 1 species
AGCUCCAAUAGCGUAUAUUGAAAUUGUUGCAGUUAAAAAGCUCGUAGUUGGAUCUGAGGUGGGAGUCGUUAGUUCAGUGUUUCGCUGCGACUAUAUGUACUCUACCUUACACAGUCAUUAGACGCCUUGUGGUGCUCUUCAUUGAGUGCUAUAGGGUGCAUGGCACGUUUACUUUGAAAAAAUUAGAGUGCUCAAAGCAGGCCUUUGUGCUUGUAUAAUCUUGCAUGGAAUAAUGGAAUAGGACUUCGGUUCUAUUUUGUUGGUUUUCGGAAUCGGAGUAAUGAUUAACAGAGACUGCCGGGGGCAUUUGUAUGGUGGCGUUAGAGGUGAAAUUCUUGGAUCGCCGCCAGACAAUCUACUGCGAAAGCAUUUGCCAAGAAUGUCUUCA